UACGAAGGGGGCUAGCGUUGCUCGGAAUUACUGGGCGUAAAGGGAGCGUAGGCGGACAUUUAAGUCAGGGGUGAAAUCCCAGAGCUCAACUCUGGAACUGCCUUUGAUACUGGGUGUCUUGAGUGUGAUAGAGGUAUGUGGAACUCCGAGUGUAGAGGUGAAAUUCGUAGAUAUUCGGAAGAACACCAGUGGCGAAGGCGACAUACUGGAUCAUUACUGACGCUGAGGCUCGAAAGCGUGGGGAGCAAACA
rnacentral:rRNA from 1 species